AAAAAUGAUCUUCUACGAUUUACGAUAAUUUCAUAAAAAUCAAUGUCAUUUAAAAUAUGGUGAUAUUUUUUGUAAAUAAUUAAGACACAGAUGAUGAAGACCAUUUUGCGAUGACGGCACCACCAUGGACACCAACGAUGCCGUGAUGGCCAGAACCCAAAUUUCUCGAAGAGGAUUAAGGAUUGGAUGUCAAUGGUUAUGGUAAUGGUUUUGAUCUCCACAGGGGGACACCAGGAGGAGGACAACGACAACCGUUAAGACACAAAUAACGAAGACCAUUUUUGCUCAUCAUAUCUUCCACGCUUAAAGAGCUAAAUAACAACAAUUAUGAGGUUAUAUUGGUGACUAGCUUCUACAAGGAUUGAGGGUUUGUGAGCUUUCCUACCCAAAGCCGAGCUUAUCAAAAGAGUAAAUAACUUUUUUGAGUUGAAAGAAAAUGUGAGCUCCAGCCCUAUAAUUUUCCUCCAACAAAAAAGGAAGUGGGGAUCACUCAUUUGAAAGGAAACCAUGUCUUGGUGGACCACUGUUAAAGGAAAAUAUCGCAACCACGAUACUUGAGAGAUCAAGGUCAAAUUCUAUUUAUUCUUAUUCUAAAACCAAAAACAAUUCCUUCUAUGGACAAAGACGUCCAAUGCUGAAGUGUGGGGCAAAACUUUUGUGUGUUAAUGACUUGCUUCUAUUAGGAAGAGCAACCAUUGAAAAGUAUUUAUCCAUAUAAUGAAAAUAUCUAGUGUAUAAUGUAAAUAUUUACUUAGAUAAUUUA